AUGGUGGACACAGUGAGCCUGGUGGGCAUGAUCCUAACGAUGGUGCAACUGAUCGCAAGCGCCGUGAAGAUGGCACAGCAGAACAAGAAGAAGUGCUGGGAGCUGGCCGAACGCACGUACACUCUGGCCAACGUACUGCCCUACUACAAAUACCCGGCGGCGAACGACCAGGAGACGGAGACAGUGAUGAGGAGGCUCAAGGAGACCCUCGACGAAGCGUUGGCGCUCAUCCAGUCCUGCCAGACUGUAACUGUAUUCUCCCGUAGCCGGAAGGCCGCCGAAUUAGAUGGGGUUAACAGAAAGAUCAACGACUGCAUCACGGACCUCAAUUUCAUCAGACAAGUUCGCACAAAUCACGUAGCAGCACCUAGCGCAGUCCCAGUCCCUGCUCAAACUUAUGACCACGGCUCCUACUAUCAGCAUCAGGCACAAGGAGGAGGAGGUGCCUCCAGCAGCGCCUGUGUUGGAUACCCCCCGCCUCAGCACGCUCCCGUCAAUGUUCACUGGACUCCGGCUCUGUCUCCCUACCAUGCUUCUCCAGCCCCCUCGGCCUCGGGUUACAAUCUAUCUUCUUUUUACACCCUUCCAACCGUCAACAAGAUCUUUGACAAUGUGUGUAAUGGAUUCCGCUAG
rnacentral:rRNA from 1 species